CAUAACAUGACCAUGAAUGAAAGCACACAGACUAAAGAACAACAAAUAUAGGGGCACCCCCCCAUAAUGUUCAGAGGGGAUUCGGCUCCAUCCUCUGGCCCCUUGCAACAUCACCCAUGUGUGACAUCAGGACAUCGCAUCAGGCCUCUUCAAUCAACUUGAAAAGAUGGCACCUCUGUCUCCAGGCAUUUUAAUAAAGAUAAACACAAGGUCAUAGAAAACAUAUAACUUCAUUCCAGGGAAAGUAGAAAUCCAGAAAAAGAAGUUAUCCUGGAAAUGAAUUGAGAGAUUCUAAUAACUAAAGGUAAGAAAGCUCUCGGUAUGAUUUUGGUCAAAUCCAGGUCUAAACAUGAACAGCUAAAAGGGAAGCAAACUAGCU